AUCCCUGUGAGAAUGCCCUACUUAUUCCUCUUUGGAAAAAAGGAGCAGGCAUUAGGCACAACCUUAAGUUAGCCCACAAUGCCUUGCUUAGCCACACCCCCAAGGGAACUCAGCAGUAGUAAACAUUAAGCAAUAAGUGAAAACUUGACUUAGUUAAAAUCAACAGGGCCGGUAAAACUCGUGCCAGCCACCGCGGUUAUACGAGAGACCCAAGUUGACAAACCAACGGCAUAAAAAGUGGUUAGUAUAAUUACCCAACUAAAGCCAAACACCUUCAAAGUUGUUAUAUGCUAUCGAAGGCAGGAAGAACCCCCACGAAAGUGGCUUUAUACUAUACAACCCCACGAAAGCUAGGAAACAAACUGGGAUUAGAUACCCCACUAUGCCCAGCCCUAAACAUAGGUUUUAUUUUACACCUCAAUUUGCCAGGGAACUACGAGCCACAGCUUAAAACCCAAAGGACUUGGCGGUGCUUUAGACCCCCCUAGAGGAGCCUGUUCUAUAACCGAUAACCCCCGUUUAACCUCACCCUCCCUUGUAUCUUCC
rnacentral:rRNA from 1 species